UUUGCGGCACUACAAAAUCCGAUAAAGAAGAAGAAACUAGGAUGUUAGAAAUAUUUUUGUACUACGAUUAAUCAGGUCAAGGAUUGAUCCCAGGGAAGUCAGCUGUAUAAUUUCAGCUAUCUUACUGUGGGCGUCCCUGGUUGGGAACUGAUAGGUUAGAAGGGCGCAGCUGGUCAGCACCUCACACCAACAACUACUGAUAUAAUCUCGUGUGACCGAAUAGUUGGAGUUGAUCGCCACUAGUAUAGCGUACAUAUUUCUCCAAAGCGCGGAACAUGUUUUUUCUGCAUCAGGUCGGGAACCACGAACCCUCGGAUUCACAGAUCGACCACGCUAACCACUAAGUUACGCCAAAAGCGACGAUACUUAACGAUGUUUCAAUGGGUGUAGCCGUUCUUAAUUUUGGACUGAUGAGAGGGAAAGCAGUAGGUCAACUGUGCCAUUGACAAUAAGGUCUCUGACUAUCAUUUAUCUAAGACUUCCGAGCGUGUUCAAAGCACCACUUCUCGAACUAUGGACUCUUCAAUGAACAGCCUGGAAAGUUAACUACUGGACCACGCUCGGCCCCUAAGUGACUGAUACCUUAAGGCAAGAUAAAGUUGGCAAGUAAUCACACAAUCCUGGGCAGUAUGAAGAGCAAGUAAUCACACAAUCCUGGGCAGUAUGAAGAGCAAGUAAUCACACAAUCCUGGGCAGUAUGAAGAGCAAGUAAUCACAAUCCUGGGCAGUAUGAAGAGCAAGUAAUCAUACAAUCCUGAGCAGUAUGAAGAACAUUUUUGAUUAUAUUCAAUUUAAUAAAAUUUAAAACUAAAAACCUACCAUGAAAGAAGAAGAUAUACAAUCAGUAGUCUUCCAUUGUAGAGUGAGAUAACAACUCACUAAAUAACGUGAAGAAUCUUCAUAAAGUGAAGGUAGUAUGUAUCCCAUCAUGCUCUCCCUCAUCUUGAACUAAGAUAUUAACUUACUACAUUCCGCAAGUAAAAUAUCCACUUACCACAAAUGAGGGACAGUCUUCAUAAAAAUUGGGGGUUACUGAAUAUCCCAUCAGUAAUCCCCUUUUUCAAAUAAUACAGAAAUUUACCACAUUUCAGGGACAGCAUGAUAUCUCAUCAGUAAUCCCUCAUAUUUUGAAGUAAGCCAUCAACUUCUAAAUAUUCUACGGACAAUCUUUAUAAAUUGGGGGUAUUAGAUUAUAUCAUUUGUAAUUCCCAUCAUUUUGAAGUAUGACAACAUCGUGUAUCACUAGAGAGUGGUCACCAAAAUUAAAGAAACGACCCUAAAGGGGCUGUAAAGAGUGGUCCUUUCUUCAUCAGGACCAUCAGCAAUCUUCACCAUUGUGAUGGUUUGGCAUCUUACUCUUGUCUUUCUUAUAUACAAACGAGUACACAUUUUUAUAAAAGAGGGUAUAUAACUAUAUGCACUUUUCUCAGGGCAACCCAGGUGAUAAUAUGAGCUAUAUAUUAGUUUUAUAACUUGUUUAUUCUCAUAUCUUCUGUAUAAAUAAAACAAAGAUGUCCGUCAAUCUGUCGGGUGUCAAAGUUAUUGUAAGGAGCUGGCUUAACCGAUAUUAUUGAAAUUUGGUAGAGAAACUCAGAUGGACUCUUUGAAUAUUGAGUUCAAAUGGAUAAUUAAUCCGAUAAACAUUUCGUGUUUGGCAGCCAUUUUAAUUUCAUCACCUCAAUGCCGCGAAUGAGGGUUGAACUGCAUGAGGAGGUCGGUUGGUAGCCGACACCAAAUAUAGGUGAAGUAUAAUGGCAUGCGUAGCACGGGUAAACAUGUUGUGUGUUACUGCUUAAAAUAGUGGAAAUAAGUCUCCAUUUAUGGUAUUGCUUUUUAGAUCCGGUAUUUCCACGAAUCAUCACUUGCUAUAAACCACGCAUACAUGUAUACACUUACAUUUGUUUGUUUACAUGUGCAUAAAAGAUACAGUCAAAGCAAUUUAUUACGAUAUUUUGUUGUUAAUACUUCUAAUAUUUAGCAACAUAAAUCUGUAUUCAGAACAUUAAAGGCUUAAGGACACAACAAAGCUUUUCGAAGUCAAUUUCUGGCCUAAUUAUACAGUUGUUUGUAAAGAAACAUUCUACCAAAUUAAAAACACUAGUGAGAAACAUUUUACUUUUAAGCCACGUCUUCAAUGGUUCGAUGUUACUUAAAAAAAAAAGAGAAAAAAAAGUACCAAAACCAAACCAAAAUUAUCCCAUAAGGUUCCGUUCGAAAUUUGUCAACGAUUUUAUGUACGAUUGUACUUGCUAUAAUUAAAUUUUGAAGUUACUGACCAAUUUUUUUUUGGUGGCUGUGUAGUGCUGACAGUCGGGAAAACGUAAGUAUUGAUUAUCUAGCUCCGAUACAUUUUAUAAUGUACCAAAUACUCUUGUCAUUCUCCAUUUCAGACUCAGCUCCUUUACCCAAACAAGAACCUUCGGUGGUUACACAAAACAGAAUCAUUUCAACAGAUCUCCCAUUUAAAGCAACGCGAGAAACAGAUUUCGUUAUUAUAAAUUAGAGUCAAGUAUUUAGCUGA